GGAACGUGCCCAAUCGUGGGGGAUAACGUANACAAAUUUACGCUAAUACCGCAUACGAUCUAAGGAUGAAAGCGGGGGAUCGCAAGACCUCGCGCGAUUGGAGCGGCUGAUAUCAGAUUAGGUUGUUGGUGAGGUAAAAGCUCACCAAGCCGACGAUCUGUAGCUGGUUUGAGAGAACGACCAGCCACACUGGGACUGAGACACGGCCCAAACUCCUACGGGAGGCAGCAGUGGGGAAUUUUGGACAAUGGGCGAAAGCCUGAUCCAGCAAUGCCGCGUGCAGGAAGAAGGCCUUCGGGUUGUAAACUGCUUUUGUACGGAACGAAACGGCUCUUUCUAAUAAAGAGGGCUAAUGACGGUACCGUAAGAAUAAGCACCGGCUAACUACGUGCCAGCAGCCGCGGUAAUACGUAGGGUGCGAGCGUUAAUCGGAAUUACUGGGCGUAAAGCGUGCGCAGGCGGUUAUAUAAGACAGUUGUGAAAUCCCCGGGCUCAACCUGGGAAUUGCAUCUGUGACUGUAUAGCUAGAGUACGGUAGAGGGGGAUGGAAUUCCGCGUGUAGCAGUGAAAUGCGUAGAUAUGCGGAGGAACACCGAUGGCGAAGGCAAUCCCCUGGACCUGUACUGACGCUCAUGCACGAAAGCGUGGGGAGCAAACACGAUUAGAUACCCUGGUAGUCCACGCCCUA
rnacentral:rRNA from 1 species